AACGUAGGGGGCCAGCGUUGCUCGGAAUUACUGGGCGUAAAGGGUCCGUAGGCGGUGUGACAAGUCGGUAGUGAAAUCUCUGGGCUCAACUCAGAGGCUGCUGCCGAAACUGUUGUGCUCGAGUGUGAGAGAGGCGAGUGGAAUUACGGGUGUAGCGGUGAAAUGCGUAGAUAUCCGUAGGAACAUCCGAGGCGAAAGCGGCUCGCUGGAUCACAACUGACGCUGAGGGACGAAAGCGAGGGGAGCAAACAGG
rnacentral:rRNA from 1 species